rnacentral:rRNA from 1 species
AUUGAACGCUAGCGGGAUGCUUUACACAUGCAAGUCGAACGAGUGGCGGACGGGUGAGUAAUAUAUCGGAACGUGCCCAGUAGCGGGGGAUAACUAAUCGAAAGAGUGGCUAAUACCGCAUACUAUAGGAGCGGCCGAUAUGGGAUUAGCUAGUUGGUGGGGUAAAGGCUAACCAAGGCAACGAUCCGAAGCUGGUUUGAGAGGACGACCAGCGAAGCGGGGACUGAGCCACGGUCCAGACUCCUACGGGAGGCAGCAGUAGGGAAUUUUGGACAAUGGGGCAAACGCUGAUCCAGCCAUACCCCGUGUAUGAGAAGGCCUUCGGGUGUUAAAGCACUUUUGGCAGAGAAGCGGUAUCUGCAGAAUAAGCACCGGCUAACUACGUGCCAGCAGCCGCGGUAAUUC